UACGUAGGGUGCGAGCGUUGUCCGGAUUUAUUGGGCGUAAAGAGCUCGUAGGCGGCUUGUCGCGUCGACUGUGAAAACCCGAGGCUCAACUUCGGGCUUGCAGUCGAUACGGGCAGGCUAGAGUUCGGUAGGGGAGACUGGAAUUCCUGGUGUAGCGGUGAAAUGCGCAGAUAUCAGGAGGAACACCGAUGGCGAAGGCAGGUCUCUGGGCCGAUACUGACGUGAGGAGCGAAAGCGUGGGGAGCGAACAGG
rnacentral:rRNA from 1 species